UACGAAGGGUGCAAGCGUUAUUCGGAUUUAUUGGGUGUAAAGGGUGCGUAGACGGCAUGUUAAGUCCACUGUUAAAUUCCCCCAGCCUAACUGGGGGCCAGCGGUCGAUACUGAUGUGCUAGAGGAUGGAAGAGAGAAGUGGAAUUCCCGGAGUAGCGGUAAAAUGCGUAGAUCUCGGGAGGAACACCAAUGGCGAAGGCAGCUUCUUGGUCCAUAUCUGACGUUGAGGCACGGAAAGCGUGGGGAGCAAACAGGG
rnacentral:rRNA from 1 species